UACGUAGGUGGCAAGCGUUGUCCGGAUUUACUGGGCGUAAAGAGCGCGCAGGCGGUUGAAUCAGUCGAAUGUGAAAGCCCCCGGCUCAACUGGGAGGGUCAUUCGAUACUGUUCGACUCGAAGGCAGGAGAGGGAAGCGGAAUUCCCGGUGUAGUGGUGAAAUGCGAUAGAUAUCGGGAGGAACACCGAGUGGCGAAGGCGGGU
rnacentral:rRNA from 1 species